CGGUGGCUGCUGGGCGGGCGGGGCGCAGGCCGCGGGACCCGAGCCCGGGGGAGCGAGAGAGCGGAAGCGCCGAGGAUCCGAUUCACUCGCUGGGGAGACCUAUGGGCCGAAGCCGUGUAAAUGCGUUUUAAGGGGCCUCGGCUCCGCAACUGCCACUCCUCCUCGGGGUGUUGCACAAGUUUCGAGGUCACCGGCGACCCCCCCUAGCAGCGCGCCUGGCUCUGGCCCCCGCGAAGGAGGACGGAGCUUGGCAGAGAUGGAGUUGGUCCAGCAUAUUGGAGUCCCUGCCAGUAAGAUCAUCUGCGCCAACCCCUGUAAGCAAAUUGCACAGAUCAAAUAUGCUGCCAAGCAUGGGAUCCGGCUGCUGAGCUUUGACAAUGAGAUGGAGCUGGCAAAGGUGGUAAAGAGCCACCCCAGUGCCAAGAUGGUUCUGUGCAUUGCUACCGAUGACUCCCACUCCCUGAGCCGCCUGAGCCUAAAGUUUGGAGUGUCACUGAAAUCCUGCAGACACCUGCUUGAAAAUGCGAAGAAGAGCCACGUGGAGGUGGUGGGUGUGAGUUUUCACAUUGGCAGUGGCUGUCCUGACCCUCAGGCCUACGCUCAGUCCAUCGCAGAUGCCCGGCUCGUGUUUGAAAUGGGCACUGAGCUGGGUCACAAGAUGCACAUUCUGGACCUUGGUGGCGGCUUCCCUGGCACAGAAGGGACUAAAGUGAGAUUUGAAGAGAUUGCUUCCAUGAUCAACUCAGCCUUGGACCUGUACUUCCCAGAGGGCUGUGGCGUGGACAUCUUUGCUGAGCUGGGGCGCUACUACGUGACUUCGGCCUUCACUGUGGCAGUCAGCAUCACUGCCAAGAAGGAGGUUCUGCUGGACCAGCCUGG
rnacentral:sRNA from 1 species